UGACCAUCGCCCUUGGUCUAGUCAUCACCCAUAGCUGGGUACAGACAGAGGAUGCAAUAACCAUAGUACAUUUGACCAUCUGCAAAACAACAUGGGAAUAGAACCCUGAGUACGAGAAGGUACUCAGCUAGACUUACCCGUCAUAAACUUAAAACAAAGACUCAUCAAGGAUUAUGAAGGCUAUUUAGUGGGGUAGCUGACAACCAUUUUGCAAAGACCGCAAGGUUUUAUUACCCGAACCUACACAAAUCUUUUCUUCUUUUAAUCUGCUCAAGUUGAAAGUAUCAUUAUCUAUUAUCUAGGUUUGCUCCUGUGCUAUUACAAGCAAGUAUGAGACUAUGAUAGUACCUCAUCACAGCAGUCAUAAACCCGUUUCAUUAUAACCCAAGUGUUCCAUAGUCCUUACUACGAGGACAGGGCUCAUGUCAAGUGCUCACUGUCCAGGAGCGAUGGCGAUUCGAAUCGAUUUCUAACUAGCUGGCGAGGUAUUCCCCACACAAACCACACUCACUGAUCAAGUGAGCUACAGAUCACCGUAUUACACUAUCCAGGACCAAUUCGCGGGUUCGGCAGGCACCGCCAGUACCCGAGGACCGUUCCGGCGACCGAGGUAUCCAAGGUAUACCAAGGUUGCGCGCCGCGCCCUCGUCGUUCUCCUCAACCACCACCAAUACAGCGCAUGGCGGCUCGAUUCCCGGCCCGGAUAGUGUUCAGGCUUCGCGGUCGGAACGACUUAUCCUUCCAGCUAAGUGUGGGGCAUGCGUUCAACAUGACAAGAGGGCCGUAACGAUCGGUCCUUAAUCGACACAGGCAGGGGCACUAUGGGCAACCCACCAUAAGACCCUGCCCGGUCUCCAAUUACAUUCCACACUUGGUUAUUUCUUUCCCCAAGCAACCACUGCUUAAUCAAGCAGGUAUCCACCUAUAUCUCGCAGGUGACAGGACAUCACCCGACUUCUACCGGACUAAGCAAGCUAAGCAUAGACUCCGCGCCUGUCUACAUAGGACAAGGUAGAUAAACGAGCAGGGAUAACAAGGAGUACAUAUGCAGCAACGGUAUCAGGCAACUCCUAUCACUUAAUAUGCAAUACAGUAGAACAAGUAUAGCACUUUAUAUAAGUUAGCGAGAAUAGGGAGACUUAGAAUGCUCCGGGGCUUGCCUUUCUCAAACGUGCUGGGUCGGUGAUCCGGACACUCCUGCAAUUCCUCUCCGGGUUCCUGUGCUUCUGGAGGUUCCUGCUCCUGAAGCUCCUCGGGUUCCUCGGUUCCCACCUCGUUCUCCUGCGAGCCUGUAUGAUGCAUAUAUGCUCAUGAGUGGAGUGCGAGA
rnacentral:lncRNA from 1 species